ensembl:lncRNA
CGUGGUUCGACCGCGAUAUAUGUAACUGAAACAAAACCAACAAGGAAGGCGUACAGUGUGUCUAUUUAGGGCAAAGACUGCAAAUGAAAAUUCAUGUUAGUGCCUUUGGAGAAAGCUGAGGUAGAGCCAGAACACAGGGGACAGAUGAGAUUCAAAUCCCGCACCACUCUAUCAGACAGUGUAAAAUGAGAUUUGGCACUAUAUCUAACACAGAAUGAGUUAUGAGUUGGAGAACUAUUAUAGCUAGAUUCUAAUUGAAGGUGUCCAAGAGCAGGUUUUUUUCCCCUCUCUCUCUGUCCUCGUAGCAGCGAUGGAAAACGGGUAAUAUCUUUUACUGGGCUAGCAUUGUGAAUGUCACAGUCUCAAGGUAAAGGAGGCUCCAGCUUUACUUUGGUUUGUCAGAGUUUGCAUGCUGUAGUAACUACAGUCCUUGAGUGCAGCAGAGAAUGUUUCGGGACGUGAGCACAAAAGUUGAAGAUAUGCGCGAGAUAAAAGCCUCAGCUAGCUGAGGGAAUGUUUUGCCUCUGGCUAUACACGGUCUCAGAUGGAUGAUUAAUUGUUUAUUGCCACCUUAUGAAGCUGAAGAGUCAUGGGCAAACAGUUUUUUUUUCCUUGUUUUUUUUUUAAACGAACUGCACCAGCCUCCUUUAGCAGUAAAUGCUUUAUAACCAUACCUGGCCAACUUUCCAUGAAUUCCUAUGUCCAAAUUCCGUGCAGGUGCCCGUUUGAGUUGACGAUUAAUAGCUGCAAUUUACAGCAAAUGGGCUUUUGCACAAUAUGUUUAGCGGGGCUAGAUAAAAUGGGUCCCUGGCCACUGAUCUGGAGACAGAUUAGGUUUUUAGUCGGCUAUGAUUAAGGCAUGAAUAGGGAAUGGGAGAUCAGACUUUGGACCUGCAGUGUUUAAUGCUGCCCACCUGUUAUAAAUGAGCAGUUAAAUGAGUCAAGCAUUGGUGGUCCCAGGCCAAUUCAAGGGCAUGAGGCAGCUACACACAAACUCUCAGCUCUCCACCUCUUUCUUAUCUAGCGACCGUACAGCUUUUCAGGUUUCCCCACACUCUCGUCGCUGCGAGUGCGUGCAAGGUGCUGCUGCACGCACUGCAGGUCGCCGGGCCGGCGGAUGGUCCACGGCUUCCUUCUGUGUGGCAAGGCAGUCCAAAAGAGAAUCUCAAAAAGGACAUUUAUCACUGUGGGGAAAUGAACAGAUCUGCUCUACUGCAUGUACAACCAGACUGACUGGGCUGAAUCUGUAGCAAGUGGCCAUCCUGCGCCCUGCCUCCUGCAUGCGCUACUCAGGCGUCUCCCUCAACAAGAACGGAGGUAAGAAAAGAUUUCCUUGAACAUGUUUUGGAGUUCAGUUGUGUUAGAGGAGAAGGAAAAUCAGCAGUAGAUUCAAUUCGUGAACUAUAUAUAGCUGACUGGUCUGUAAGGGUCAGAUUACUUGUGUGGCAACUCUUGACCGAUUAACUACAUUUGACCAAAUAGAGGUCUUGUCACAUGGUUUUAGUUGGGAUUUCAAAAUCAUUUUUCAAAUAUUUCCACAGUCUUAAAUUUAAGUGCGUUGCUGGAGCAACCAAGACUGCAUACAUAAUGGACUAAUGUUUCACACCUCUUUUAUGACUGCCUGACAUGUCACAUCCAAAAAGAUCUCUUUUGUGAAAGAAAACACCGUUGUUAAUAUUGGAUCUCCCUCCCUCUAGACUUUCCUUAUCACAGACAAAAUGUGCUGCAAGACUGACAUGUCAUGGUGCUGUUUGUCAGACAGCCCUCAGACGGAAUAUUUUUCCCCCCCGAUCAAAUUGGAAUGAACUAUAUUUUCAGGCUAUUUGUUGUCACAAAUUCACCCAUUCCUCAUAUGGAUGUGAUAUGUGCCUUGUCCCAGCUGUCAAAGGCUCAGUGGUGGCAGAAUGUAUUCAUGUCUUAAAUGAAUGAUAAAGUACGCUGCAACAGCUCAAAACCGAUGCCAUUUGGAAAAUAAAAUGGUUUCAAUACUUAAAGAACUGUGGCCGUUGAGCAAUACUCCUCUAAAGCUUGUGACAAACUGCAGUGAUGCACGCUCCAUUAGAUAAUCUUUGACUCAAUUUGUUUCUAAAUUUAUGUUUCUAGUCGUUUCAGUGAGUCGAAAGGAAGGAAAAUGUUCCCUUGAAUUGGAUUUUUACAGCAGAAAAAUUAUGGGAUGCUAAUCUAAAAAUCUUA